rnacentral:rRNA from 1 species
CCGGCACGGGUGAGUAACGCGUAUGCAACUUACCUAUCAGAGGGGGAUAACCCGGCGAAAGUCGGACUAAUACCGCAUGAAGCAGGGAUCCCGCAUGGGAAUAUUUGCUAAAGAUUCAUCGCUGAUAGAUAGGCAUGCGUUCCAUUAGGCAGUUGGCGGGGUAACGGCUCACCAAACCUUCGAUGGAUAGGGGUUCUGAGAGGAAGGUCCCCCACAUUGGAACUGAGACACGGUCCAA